rnacentral:lncRNA from 1 species
UGGCCAUUGAUCUAGGUGAUUUUUGAGACCACUCACUCGGUGACAUCCGUCGCUCGAUCAGCAAGAUUGGAAGAGUUCAAUCUUAGCUCUCCUUAUAAACGACUCUUCAUCGCCCUUUGGACUAAGAUUCAUUGGUGGUCUUCCAUGGUGCGGUGGUGCUGUUCCACCACCUUCGAGAGGUGGUGGGCAUCUUCUCCUCGAUUGGGGAUGUUUGUGUCCCCAAUCGAAAAACUGUUAGGCGCUCAGGCGAGAGCUAUUGCAGCAAAGGCUUGGGCUUGACAUGAGAGGCAUUGGAAAUCCUCCAUCGCUCCAAUGAGGGAGUUGGGUUGGUGGUCAUUAGACGUUCCUUCCAUAUCACCCUCGAUCGAGGGGUUUUUAGCCUCUCCAUGGGGCUGAUCUUUCCUCCUCGGCAAGAUGGCUUCUCUAAUAGCCUUUGGUAGAGCAUCUGAGAGGUGGACAUGUCUCUGAGAAG